rnacentral:sRNA from 4 species
AACCCCCAGCUAGGCUGGGGGUUCCGGAAAGCUUUCAGCUUUAAGCCAGUUAUUAAAACCCCUUUUGAUUUGUUAAAAC